UUUCUCUCUCCUUAUUUUCGAAUUAUAGAGUGAGAGAGAGUUAAAAGAUGAACCAUGAUCAAGUAUCAGCACGCCAAGAGCAGCAACAAAGGAUCAAAACCAAAAAUCAUAGCAUAAAAGGUAUAUGAACCCUAAACCUAGAAAUUCUAUAAUCUGAAGUUAUUUGUUGAAAUUAAUUGUUCAAAGAUAUGUAAUAAGGUGUCAAUUGAUGAUCUGAGUUGAUAAAUCCAUGAUCCAUAACAUCAAAGUGCACGAAUUUAGAGUUUUUCAAAAUCUGGAAAAUCUGGAAAAUUGUGUUUUUCAGUCAAAUGUCAGAUCUUAUAGAUCCGUGUGUGCUAGUUGUUUUGUGUGUUUUAAGUUAUAAACUUGCUCUAUGCCAUGAGGUCUUGAAUCUCCAACUCGAAACAAGUCCAGAUCUUGUCUAGAUCAAAAGUUAUGAAAGGUCAAACCUAGUUGACCGAACACAAAACCUGUUUCUGGAAACCCAGAAAAUCCCCAGAAAUUUCUGACAAGCUUUUGUAAGCUUCUGAUCUUGCAGUCAUUUUAUCUUUUGGCCAUGUUGUUAUUUUAAUAUUGUAUACUGAUAUUUAUAUUACACAUCUAAUCCAUCAGAAGCACUAGAUCGUUCAUAGGAUCCAAGAUACACUUGGUCAAAGUAGCUUUGACCGACUGUUCUUGACGAAAUCUGGAAAACCCAGAAAUCGUGAAGAACAGUGUCUGACCCAUACUUUGACUGGCUGAAAACAGGAGAUGGUGAUGUUGUUAGACUAGUCUGAUGUUAUGAAGUUAUACUAUGACAUCAUGACUACAAGUUUUAAUCUUUAGAUCACAAAACCAAAGCCUAGACUGCAAGUUACAAGGAAUCAAAGUAGGUACCUAAGGCUGUUCUUCAAAUCUGGAAAACCCAGAAUUUGAAGAACAGGUCUGACAUCAUUUUUGGAAGCUUAGAUCUCGUUGUUAUGUUGUUGUUUGGUCAUGGAAUUGGUAUAUAAUUGUAGUACUACAUUAGUACUACAACAUCAAAGUUUUUACAAGCCCAGAAAACGUAAGGAACACUGAUUUAAAUCCGGUCAAACCUAGCCCCUCGAAUUCUGACAUGAAGAUCUGGAGAUUGGCCAAGAACACCAAGAACACAAUUAGCGACACUUUUAUCGCCUAAGAACCCUUUAGCGACAGUUUAUUUUUAUUUUCCGGAAAUUGAUUAAAAAAAUUGAAAUAAAUGAUUUUAAAUUAUUAAAAAUACAUAAUAAAUUAUGAAAAAUUAUUUUAAAGUCUGAAAAAUAGUUUUUAACUAUUUUGAGCAUAUUUUGAAAAUAUUUAAUAUUUUUGGGAAUAUAAAAGGUAUUUAUUUAUUUAAUUAUAAUAUUAAAUAAAUUAUUUAAAAAUAGUUUUAAUUCAUGAAAAAUCAUGAAAAUUUAUUUUGUGGUGCUAGAAAAUAUUUUAAGUUAUUUUUGAUGACUUUUAAUAUUUUAUGAUAAAUUUCAUUAAUAUUUUAAUAUUAAUGGUAAUUAAUUUAUUUAAUUAAUAUAUUAAAUAAAUUAAGAAAAAAUAGAAUUAAUGUUUUAAAAAUCAUAUAAAGAUGAUUUAAGUAUUAGAAAAUUAUUUGAAGUUAUAAAAUAUAACUUUUGAUAUUUUGGCAUGGAAAUAUUAAUAUUUUAAUAUUAAUAUUAAUUAUCGGAUAAUGGAUUUAAGUGUUUAAAAAAAUCAUAUAAAUAUGAUUUUUAAGAUAUUAAAAAUAUUUUGAAAUAUUAUAAUGACAUUAUAAUAUUAUGUAAGGAUUUUCAUUAAUAUUUUAUAUUAAAUGAAUAUUAAUGAUUAAGGAAUUAUGUGGUAUUUAAUUUAGUUAAAUACGGUUUUAAGGAUUGAAAAAAAUCAUGAUAAAUGGUAAUAAUUAUCUGAAAAUUAUUACGAGCCUAGGAAAAAUGUUUUGACUGAUAAGAAAUUAUCUGUGAUAAUUGUUAAGGGUUAGGCAGAGUUUAACUGAACUUAAACUCGAGUAUUGUCCGACUAGAUCGUCGGGAUGAUAGAAUUGUGUCAGUUUUAAGUCAGACUGAAAUAGUUUGACCUGAUGCUAAGUCUUAUGUGCUGUAUAGACUUAUAGGGUUAUGUGUUAUGUGUUUAGGUUAUUCUGUGUAUUUAAAUAUAACAGUAUUAUACUGUGAUGAUAUUAUUCUAAUAUUGGAGAUCUAUAUUAUUAAUAUUAGGUCUUCGGGUAAAGCGUUAUAAAUUGCGUUGCGGUAAUCAACGGUUCAGGCAAGUUUGUUCUUACUUAACUCUAAUAAGAGUGUUUUAUUCAAGCUUAUGGUUAAUCAUUGCUGAUUGCCAUGAAAAUUGUACUCUGUACAUCUUGCAUGUAUAAGUCAGGUAUGAAAGGCUGAUCACCUUCAUUACCAGUUGGUUCAGAAAUGUUUGUUCAUGUUUAAAACUUGUUCAGUCAAAAGUUUGUUCCUGCUAGUUCUCAAUUAUAUUGAUGAAUUAUAGCCAGCUUAUUAUUCAUACUCUUCAAUCAUGAUAUAUCCUUAUAUUGUUGUAUUUAAACUUGCUGGGCAACUUUCAUGCUCACCCUUGCUAUAUCAUGAUAAAACAUUGCAGAUAAGGCAAAUGCGUUCGGAUACAGGAAAAGAUAAUGCCAAGUUCAACUUGGGAUAAAUUGUGCGGCUAUUUUGUAAUAGUAUAGUUUGAUAAAUGUGAUAAAUGUUAGAUCAUUUAUGAUUGUGUAAUAAGUAAAGGUUACUCGACCUUGGGGAAAAGUGUGUAAUGAAAUGUAUAAACAAUUUAUGUUUAUAUCUUCCGCAAACAGUUAUAGAAUGUUUAGUGUAC
rnacentral:lncRNA from 1 species